CUCAAGCUUGCUCCAAAAAUU
rnacentral:piRNA from 1 species